AGUUAAGUGACUAAGCGUACACGGUGGAUGCCUAGGCAAUCAGAGGCGAAGAAGGACGUGCUAAUCUGCGAAAAGCUUGGAUGAGUUGAUAAGAAGCGUUUAAUCCAAGAUAUCCGAAUGGGGAAACCCGAUGGAUGAAGAAUCCAUCAUUUCAUUAUGAAUCCAUAGUAAUGAAAGGCAAACCGGGAGAACUGAAACAUCUAAGUACCCCGAGGAAAAGAAAUCAACCGAGAUUUUGUAAGUAGCGGCGAGCGAAAGCGAAAGAGCCAGUGAGUGAUARCAGCAAAGACAGAAGAAUUGGCUGGGAAGCCAAGCGACACAGGGUGAUAGCCCCGUAUUCGAAGUUUUUGUUGUGGUACUAAGCUUGCAACAAGUAGGGCGGGACACGAGAAAUCCUGUUUGAAGAUGGGGGGACCAUCCUCCAAGGCUAAAUACUCCUGAUUGACCGAUAGUGAACCAGUACUGUGAAGGAAAGGCGAAAAGAACCCCAGUGAGGGGAGUGAAAUAGAACCUGAAACCGUGUACGUACAAGCAGUGGGAGCCCGAAAGGGUGACUGCGUACCUUUUGUAUAAUGGGUCAGCGACUUAUAUUUUGUAGCGAGGUUAACUGAAUAAGGGAGCCGAAGGGAAACCGAGUCUUAACUGGGCGGAUAGUUGCAAGGUAUAGACCCGAAACCCGGUGAUCUAGCCAUGGGCAGGUUGAAGGUUGGGUAACACUAACUGGAGGACCGAACCGACUAAUGUUGAAAAAUUAGCGGAUGACUUGUGGCUGGGGGUGAAAGGCCAAUCAAACCGGGAGAUAGCUGGUUCUCCCCGAAAUCUAUUUAGGUAGAGCCUUAUGUGAAUACCUUCGGGGGUAGAGCACUGUUUCGGCUAGGGGUCCAUCCCGGAUUACCAACCCGAUGCAAACUGCGAAUACCGAAGAGUAAUGCAUAGGAGACACACGGUGGGUGCUAACGUCCAUCGUGGAGAGGGAAACAACCCAGACCGCCAGCUAAGGUCCCAAAGUCUAUAUUAAGUGGGAAACGAAGUGGGAAGGCUUAGACAGCUAGGAUGUUGGCUUAGAAGCAGCCAUCAUUUAAAGAAAGCGUAAUAGCUCACUAGUCGAGUCGGCCUGCGCGGAAGAUGUAACGGGGCUAAAAUAUAGCACCGAAGCUGCGGCAUCAGGCGUAUCACUAAUACGCCUUAAGAUUAACAACAUCGAAUGAAGUGAAACGGAAAGAGAUGUUGGUCAAGCAACCCGAACGUUGAGUCGGAAAGUAAUCGAAGAGAGGAUUAUUAGUGAUACGUCUGUUGGGUAGGGGAGCGUUGUGUAAGCGGAUGAAGGUGAAUCGAGAGGUUUGCUGGACGUAUCACAAGUGCGAAUGCUGACAUAAGUAACGAUAAAACGAGUGAAAAACUCGUUCGCCGGAAGACCAAGGGUUCCUGUCCAACGUUAAUCGGGGCAGGGUGAGUCGGCCCCUAAGGCGAGGCUGAAAAGCGUAGUCGAUGGGAAACGGGUUAAUAUUCCCGUACUUG
rnacentral:rRNA from 1 species